rnacentral:rRNA from 1 species
CCUACGGGUGGCAGCAGUGGGGAAUAUUGGGCAAUGGGCGCAAGCCUGACCCAGCAAAGCCGCGUGAAGGAAGAAGGCUCUCGGGGUGUAAACCUCUUUUAAGAGGGAAGAGCAGAGGACGGUACCUCUUGAAUAAGCGACGGCUAACUACGUGCCAGCAGCCGCGGUAAUACGCAGGUGGCAAGGGCUGUCCGGAAUUACUGGGGUGAAAGGGCGUGUAGCCGGGCUGAAAAGUCAGAGGUGAAAUCCCGUGGCUCAACCACGGAAGUGCGUUUGAAACUGUCGGUCUUGAGUAUCGGAGAGGCAGGCGGAAUUCCUGGUGUAGCGGUGAAAUGCGUAGAUAUUAGGAGGAACACCAGUGGCGAAGGCGGCCUGCUGGACGCCAACUGACGGUGAGGCGCGAAAGCGUGGGGAGCAAACAGGAUUAGAUACCCGGGUAGUC